ensembl:lncRNA
CUAAAGCCUGAAUUCUGUAGAGUGCGAUCGAAUCUUAUCUCUAAAUAUCUUUUGUCUUCAUGGGGUAACGGUAGUUUAUCCAGGUGAAUUGCGAUUGCUUUCCCCGCCCUGCGUUAAAAUCGUAUCUCCCCGAGGGCGUUUCAUCUGGUUGGUGUUAGGGGGUUGAGGAUCUCUGCCCUUUGGGGUUUCCAGCACAGCCUGGUGUCACCUCAGACCCAGCUGUCCCUCCUUUCUGUUGGGAGCAACUCUCUUCCACUCAGCACAACGCGUUUAAUGGAGGUAAAACUGCGAGUGCCCCUAUUUAUGGCUUCAGUGAGUGUGCUUUUUGUCAGUCUGUCUUGGAGAAGCAUCUGGGUGCGACAGAAGUCGUUUCCUGAGCCUUGGCAGCAGCCGUGUGUGCUUUGAGAUGGAGGGACAGCUCCAAAUGCCUGCAAUUCAGCAUUGGCUCCAUGUCCUUGGGGUAGUUGGUGAGGAUGUCUCGACCUCAAGGAAUAACCUUGAAAGAACUCUCAGCCCAACAGCAGAUCACUACUUUGCAUCCUACCUCUUCAGCCAGGAGAGCUCACGUGAUGGUCUCUGUCUGCUGUAAGAACCUGCUGAGUUAUACAGAACCAAAAUAUUAUUAAUUAACCAGCUAUUCCUUGACUACAAUAACCACAGUAGCUAAUUUUAGCUCAGAAAGUUUCUGCAACCUGCCUGCAAUUAUGUAUGUGCCUACCAUUGGUAGAUUGGUUAGCAAACAAUGCAAUGAACUGAUAACAGCAGAGAAUAAAACAUUGGUUUUGAGACUGAGCUUUACAACCAGGAUCAGCAGAUGAAGGAAGCAGAGGGGCUUUAAG